rnacentral:snoRNA from 1 species
AUCUGGUGGUGAGAACAGCUUGCACACAAUUUCUUGAACCUUUCUCAGUACUCAUACAAGCUUUCUCCACUAAGUUGCCUAAUUCCUGAAAUGUCUUUUCUAAUGGU